UACGGAGGGUGCGAGCGUUGUUCGGAAUCACUGGGCGUAAAGGGCGUGUAGGCGGUCCGCUAAGUCUGAUGUGAAAGCCCGGGGCUCACCCCCGGAAGUGCAUUGGAAACUGGUGGACUCGAGUCCCGGAGAGGAGGGUGGAAUUCCUGGUGUAGCGGUGAAAUGCGUAGAUAUCAGGAGGAACACCGGUGGCGAAGGCGGCCCUCUGGACGGUGACUGACGCUAAGACGCGAAAGCGUGGGGAGCAAACAGG
rnacentral:rRNA from 1 species